rnacentral:lncRNA from 1 species
CACGACGGUGGACAGGGAGGGACAGUGCAGGAGGGAGAGUGGAGAGCUGCCCGGAGGCUCCACUGCCCAGUUCUCUGCUUCAGCACCGGGGACAGAGCUGGUGCCUGGGGUUUCAGGACUCUGGACAGAGCCAGCUACCCGGGUCCUUUUCCCACCCUCCUCUGCCCCUUGCUGGCACUGAGCAGCCACACAGCUGUACCCACUCAAACUGGCCGUGGGGCCCUCCCUGGGCCAGCCUUGGCCACGCCUCACCUGGGCCCUCUGCAGUCCUGCCCAGGGAACCUCGGGCCUACUGCGGCCCGUGGGCGAGGCAGCUCUGGUGAGCCCCGUCCUGACCCACCUCGGGGCAUCGCCCUCUCUGCCCUGCCAGCACCUCCCGUGAGCUGCCCAUCUGUGUUCCCCCUCCAGCCUGGCACCCGGUGGGCACCCAACUCUGCUGCAGGGACGAGUGCACAGAGUUCCAGAAAUGACUUCUAAAUCAUCAGAUGUGCGGAGUCUCGUGACGGCAGGGCCUGUGUGACGUGCUCCACACACUCUGCUGCUUACAGGUACCACACUGGGGCCACCGCGGAGCCACGUGCGCCAGCUCACGCACCAGGAGGAGGCAGAGCUGGACCCAAACGCUGCCCGUGCCCUUGACAGAGACUCCUCC